AGCAGCCGCGGUAAUUCCAGCUCCAAUAGCGUAUAUUAAAGUUGUUGCAGUUAAAAAGCUCGUAGUUGAAUUUCGGGAUUGACGUGAUGGUCAUGCCUUAAGGGGUAUGAACUGUUACAGUUGAUUUCUCACCUUCUGGAGAAACUUGAUGUCCUUUAUUGGGUGUCUUGCGGAUCCAGGACCUUUACCUUGAAAAAAUUAGAGUGUUUAAAGCAGGCAUUUUUGCUCGAAUACAUUAGCAUGGAAUAAUAGAAUAGGACGGCAUGGUUCUAUUUUGUUGGUUUCUAGGAUCACCGUAAUGAUUAAUAGGGAUAGUUGGGGGCAUUAGUAUUCAAUUGUCAGAGGUGAAAUUCUUGGAUUUAUUGAAGACUAACUACUGCGAAAGCAUUUGCCAAGGAUGUUUUCAUUAAUCAAGAACGAAAGUUAGGGGAUCGAAGACGAUCAGAUACCGUCGUAGUCUUAACCAUAAACUAUGCCGACUAGGAAUCAGAC
rnacentral:rRNA from 1 species